rnacentral:lncRNA from 1 species
GGUUUAAAAACGUGGGAAGCAGGUGGAGAAGAGUUUAAUACAACCUGAGGUUGCUUCAUAUGAGGGUUUAGCUCAUAACCAAGCUUGGCUGAGAGCAUACAGCUGGCAACCUGUUUCAUCAUCAACAUUAUACUGUCUUUUCCCUCCAAUGAAGAAGUUUCCAGCCAAUCAUAAAUAAUUAAAGGAGGAAGCAAGCACACAGGC